UUUAUGUCAUCUAUUGCCAAUCUUACACAUGCAAGUAUCUGCACACCCGUGAAAACGCCCUUAACCCCUUGAUCAAGGAAAAGGAGCUGGUAUCAGGCUCAACUUUAAGCCCACAACACCUAGCCACGCCACGCCCGCAAGGGUAUUCAGCAGUGAUAAACCUUGUUUAUAAGCGCAAGCUCGAAUCAGUUACGGCAAAGAGGGCCGGCAAAUCCGGUGCCAGCCGCCGCGGCUACACCGUUAGGCCCAAGUUGACACACGCCGGCGUUAAGCGUGAUUAGAGUGAUUACACUGAUUAGAGUUAAACCCAAACUUAGUCGUGAUACACUUGUUCCCGGGAAACCCAAAAACGAAAGUUACUCUAACCAAUCCACUUGACCCCACGACAGCUAGGACACAAACUGGGAUUAGGUACCCCACUAUGCCUAGCCGUAAAAUAUAUACUCACCCAACAAAUCGCCAGGGAAUUACGAGCCCAAGCUUAAAACCCAAAGGACUUGACGGUGUCCCACCCACCUAGAGGAGCCUGUUCUAUAAUCGAUUCCCCCCGAUAAACCUCACCACUUCUGGCCAACUCAGCCUGUAUACCUCCGUCGUAAGCUUACCAUGUGAACGAAACCAGUGAGCCAAAAGAUCCAACAUCAAUACGUCAGGUCAAGGUGCAGCUAACGAACUGGGAAGAAAUGGGCUACAAUUUCUACCAUAGAACAAACGAAAGGCUACAUGAAACAUAGUCACUGAAGGCGGAUUUAGCAGUAAAAAGAAAAUAGAGAGUUCUUUUUAACAAGGCGCUGGGACGCGUACACACCGCCCGUCACCCUCUUCGAAUGCCAAGCUUAUGUAAAUAACCCCACACAGCACCUUAGAAGAGGCAAGUCGUAACACGGUAAGCGUACUGGAAAGUGCGCUUGGA
rnacentral:ncRNA from 1 species